rnacentral:lncRNA from 1 species
AGGCAAUGAGGCAAAUCCACCUCUAUCUGGAAGCAAAGGGGAGCAAACAGAAGCCUGUACAGCUCUAAUGUCAGAGUUGCCUUCUAACCCUCCAAAUGCCUUCCUGGUACCAAAGCCUGAAGAGCCUUGGAGGGAAGAUGUGCCUGGAAAUGACUCUCAAGAGCCAAUGAAGAACGAAGCAGUGAAAACAGGCUCUGAAAAAAAUGAACCCAUUUUUCAAAGAGAGCUUCAAAAGGAGGAUGAGCUUCUUAGCGCCGAGCAUUUCAGUGUGCCUUUAUCAUUUAAGCAAGAGGAAGAACAAAAAUCAGCUGUCACAACUGAAAGCCCAAAAGAUGAAGCCAGUAGCAAUGAAAUUAUAAAAGCUGAUGAUGUGUCUAGAGAAAGCACCACACUUUCUGAAACAGAAAGUAUUAUCAGUCCCACCAAGGAAAAUUCCCUGGUAGAUAAAAGAUUAUUACUGGAAGAAUAUGCAUUAAGUGUUUCUCUGAGCAGAUCCACAGAGCUGAAUCAAAAAGAAACUGAGGCAAGUCUAACAGGAGAAAAAAAUGAAAUCAGAAUAGAGGAGGCACAAGAGACACAAACCAGUGAAUUACCUGAGGGGUCAACAGGGGCAGAAAGACAACUGUUGGACUCUGUUAGUAGCCACCUGCAGGACAUGGAAAAUGCUCAUUUGGGACACAAUCCCGAAGAAUUCAGUCUUUGUGAAAAGACUUCAACAGGUGACCUAGGGGAAAAAACUGGGGGAAAGCCUCUGAAUUUAGACAGUAUCUUUAAAUUGCCCAAAGACAAUUCUCACUCUCUUGUUUAUAAACCUGAACAACAAAUGAGUAAAGAGCAAACAGAUGCCACAGAUGACCUGGAGAAUAAGCUUGCGGCUUCACCACAGUUUCCAACGGAAGCACCACUGAGUUUUGACUACCUUAACACUGAGGCAGAAGACAAAACUUUGGGCCAACCAGGCUGUAACGAGACUGAAAAGGUUUGUUUAGCUGGUGCACACAGUUCACUGCUCCUCCACGCUGAGAACAAUAAUAUUAAGCAGAGUAAGCAGGAUGAAUCCUGGGAAAAGGCUUUUGCUACAGAAACUGUGUUAGAAUCUGAAUACAAAGCCGAGAGUCAAGGAAAGCCUGAGAGCUAUAGCACGUCAGAAGAAAGUGCAAAAAUGUCCAACUCAAAACUUGAGCUCCAGGGCUUCAGUGAGUUGGCAGGGACUACGGCUGCACAAACUAAGGAGGCCUCACGGGUU